rnacentral:rRNA from 1 species
UACAGAGGGGGCAAGCGUUGUUCGGAAUUACUGGGCGUAAAGGGCUCGUAGGUGGCCAACUAAGUCAGACGUGAAAUCCCUCAGCUUAACUGGGGAACUGCGUCUGAUACUGGAUGGCUUGAGUUUGGGAGAGGGAUGCGGAAUUCCAGGUGUAGCGGUGAAAUGCGUAGAUAUCGGGAGGAACACCAGUGGCGAAGGCGACUACCUGGCCUGUUCUUGACGCUGAGGCGCGAAAGCUAGGGGAGCAAACGGG